UACGUAGGUUGCGAGCGUUAUUCGGAUUUACUGGGCGUAAAGCGCACCGAGGUGGUAUCUUAAGUUGGAUGUAAAAUCUCCUGGCUUAACUGGGAGGCGCCAUUCAAAACUGAGAUACUUGAGGUCAGCAGGGGAAAGUGGAAUUCCCGGUGUAGUGGUGGAAUGCGUAGAGAUCGGGAGGAACACCAGUGGCGAAAGCGGCUUUCUGGGCUGCACCUGACACUCUAGUGCGAAAGCGUGGGGAGCAAACAGG
rnacentral:rRNA from 1 species